rnacentral:rRNA from 1 species
GAUGAACGCUAGCUACAGGCUUAACACAUGCAAGUCGAGGGGAAACGACAUCGAAAGCUUGCUUUUGAUGGGCGUCGACCGGCGCACGGGUGAGUAACGCGUAUCCAACCUGCCCACCACUUGGGGAUAACCUUGCGAAAGUAAGACUAAUACCCAAUGACGUCUCUAGAAGACAUCUGAAAGAGAUUAAAGAUUUAUCGGUGAUGGAUGGGGAUGCGUCUGAUUAGCUUGUUGGCGGGGUAACGGCCCACCAAGGCGACGAUCAGUAGGGGUUCUGAGAGGAAGGUCCCCCACAUUGGAACUGAGGCACAGACCAAACUCCUACGGGAGGGAGCAGUGAGGAAUAUUGGGCAAUGGAGGAGAGUCUGAACCAGCCAAGUAGCGUGCAGGAUGACGGCCCUAUGGGUUGUAAACUGCUUUUAUAAGGGAAUAAAGUGAGUCUCGUGAGACUUUUUGCAUGUACCUUAUGAAUAAGGACCGGCUAAUUCCGUG